GUUUGAGCAAAGCAAUAAAACAAACCACAGACAAGCCGCUUGGAAGUGGUAUCCACCACCAAUCUCUCCAGCUUGGACCUCACCCCAAAGAGGAUAUUCAAGGGGACUUACUGAUGGACUCUUCAUACCCAAGGAGCAUCCCACUUGACAGUCAUAGCUUCAGAAGAUAAUUCUGAACGUACAAGAUUUGAAUUCAACUUUUUACUUCUAUAGUUUUAGAUAGCUAUGAAGAAAAUCUGUAGUAAAAAUAAUAAAUCCACCCUUAAAGUUUGACAGAUUAUAUUUCUUUCAUUAAUGACGGGGUUUUCCCAUGACUUGCUUCAGUUUUCCUCAUGAAUCACUGCUGUAAUUUAUAUUAAAUGUUCCAUCAUCUUUUAUUUCA